ensembl:snRNA U7 U7 small nuclear RNA
GAACAUUACAACUCUUUUUGAAUUUGUCCAGCAGGUUUUUCAGUUUUCACUGGAAUUCUGCU